rnacentral:rRNA from 1 species
ACUCCUACGGGAGGCAGCAGUGGGGAAUAUUGCACAAUGGGCGCAAGCCUGAUGCAGCCAUGCCGCGUGUGUGAAGAAGGCCUUCGGGUUGUAAAGCACUUUCAGUCGUGAGGAAGGUAGUGUAGUUAAUAGCUGCAGUAUUUGUACGUUAGCGACAGAAGAAGCACCGGCUAACUCCGUGCCAGCAGCCGCGGUAAUACGGAGGGUGCGAGCGUUAAUCGGAAUUACUGGGCGUAAAGCGCAUGCAGGCGGCCUGUUAAGUCAGAUGUGAAAGCCCGGGGCUUAACCGUCGGAAUUGCAUUUGAAACUGGCAGGCUAGAGUCUGGUAGAGGGGGUAGAAUUUCAGGUGUAGCGGUGAAAUGCGUAGAGAUCUGAA